UUAAAAAAUAUGAAGAAGAAAGGGAUUAGGGUUCGAACAGUGUGACCUCUCAGCUCCCUUCUCUUCUUCACGUGCGACGAAAACCGACGGUCGGGGAUCUUCCUCACUCCACCAUCGCCGUGAACGACGAUGCAAGCUUCCGCGCCCAUCUCACUCGCAGUCUCAUUACGAUCUCCUUCUUCCCUAAUCUGAAAUCAUACUAUUCAUGCUUGAUUCAACCGGAGAAGCUUCAGAGACGAUGAAGAUGAAUUGUGUAGAUAGCGAUGAUGAAGGUUCAAUGAUGAUUUGCGCCCUUGCUGUUGUUAUGGAGGUUGGAGAUGCAUUGCAAUGAUGGUUUUCUGCCGGUGAUUCAAGAAUCGGUCUGAAUUCAACGGUAUUGGAAUCCUCAGAUGAAGAUAUCGAAAUCAUGCUCUUUGAAGAAUCUAUUAGAGGUGUGGGAUUUGCAGAUUGGGUUAUGGUGAUGGUGAAGGAUGAUCUUGAAGUUUGGUGAAUCGGUGGUGAAUCUAGAAAGAAAGAUGAAGAUUGAUUAUGGUUCUAGAAGUUUGAUUGAAGGCAAUUAGAGUUCAAGGUGAAGGAGAAGAUGAAGUGAGAGAGUGAUUGAUAUGGAGGAUGGGGAUGAUGAAUUCAUAGAUUGUGAAGAUUGAAGAUGAUGAGAAGUGAAUUGUUCAGAGAAUGGUGGAUAAAGUGUGUAUCUGAAAAAAUGGUGGAGAGAAAAAAAUGAGAGAUGAAGAUGGUUCUGUUAUAUAGGUGGUGAAGAGGAUGAAUUCAGUUAGAGCUUGAGAAAGGUUGGAGAUUCGCUGGGGAGAUGUGAGGUUGGUUAGACUUGAAGGGUGGAGAUUGCAGAGAUUCCAAGGGCUGGAAUUUAAAUUGGAUGCUGCAGAUUAAUGGAACUGAUUUGUGGUUAGGGUAGGUGAUAUGCAGGCUGCUGGAUCUUUUUAUUUGCUGUGCAGGUUUGCAAGGUUAGCUCGAAUAAAGAUCGGACGACCUUUUAUUGCACUUUACCUUGAGUAUGUGCUUAUGAAGAUGAGAAACUUGGCUCAUGAAGAACUUGAAGAUGAAGUUUAAGCACAUUCUUAGAAUUUUUCAUAGACUUUUGCGAUGCAUCUUGUAUGAAUCAUUUUCUUGUAUUUUUCAGGUUUCUUUUGUAAUGAAAAUUCUUGGUAAUUUGACUCUUUGUAACUUUAUUCAAACCUUGAACUUUCCUUCCACUUUUGUUGAUUAGAGAUUUCAAAUAUUCCUCUUUUGAAUGAGAUCCUUCGAUUAUGAUUUCUUUCUUCAAGUACCCUUAAUGCUUCUAAUAAUAGUAAGAAUCCAUAUGGGCAAGUCAAUAUAAUUUGGUCCACAAAUGUCAACCUUCUUUAGUUGACUUGUUGACUUAAAAGUCAACUCAAAACCGAAUGUGAGCAUCUUUAUGUUUUUUUUAGCAAUUAUACUUUGUUUCUCUCAAUGCUUGACAUCAAAAGAAUUUGCACUUUAAUCUUCAAAUCGGCCAUUAACCCAAUGUCUUGUCGUAGAAGAAACAAAAUCCGAACAAUGGUUGGCCGCACAGAGACGAAUCAAUACCUCAACUCAAAUCAUGGCAUCGUAACCGAAUCAACCAAUGUAGUACAUAUGAGGCCAUAGCCCUAAU